rnacentral:rRNA from 1 species
CCUUGUACACACCGCCCGUCACACCACGAAAGUUGACUGCACCAGAAGUCACGUUUCUAACCGUAAGGGAGAGCGUGCCCAAGGUUUGGUCAAUGAUUGGGGUG